GAUGAACGCUGGCGGCGUGCUUAACACAUGCAAGUCGAACGAUGAAGCCCAGCUUGCUGGGUGGAUUAGUGGCGAACGGGUGAGUAACACGUGAGUAACCUGCCCUUAACUCUGGGAUAAGCCUGGGAAACUGGGUCUAAUACCGGAUAGGAGCGUCCACCGCAUGGUGGGUGUUGGAAAGAUUUAUCGGUUUUGGAUGGACUCGCGGCCUAUCAGCUUGUUGGUGAGGUAAUGGCUCACCAAGGCGACGACGGGUAGCCGGCCUGAGAGGGUGACCGGCCACACUGGGACUGAGACACGGCCCAGACUCCUACGGGAGGCAGCAGUGGGGAAUAUUGCACAAUGGGCGCAAGCGUGAUGCAGCGACGCCGCGUGAGGGAUGACGGCCUUCGGGUUGUAAACCUCUUUCAGUAGGGAAGAAGCGAAAGUGACGGUACCUGCAGAAGAAGCACCGGCUAACUACGUG
rnacentral:rRNA from 1 species